CAGCAGCCGCGGUAAUACGAAGGGUGCAAGCGUCAAUCGGAAUUACUGGGCGUAAAGCGUGCGUAGGCGGUGAGUUAAGUCUGCUGUGAAAUCCCCGGGCUCAACCUGGGAAUGGCAGUGGAUACUGGCUCGCUAGAGUGUGUCAGAGGAUGGUGGAAUUCCCGGUGUAGCGGUGAAAUGCGUAGAGAUCGGGAGGAACAUCAGUGGCGAAGGCGGCCAUCUGGGACAACACUGACGCUGAGGCACGAAAGCGUGGGGAGCAAACAGGAUUAGAUACCCCCGUAGUCCCUGUCUCUUAUAC
rnacentral:rRNA from 1 species